GAAUAGCUCAGUCGGUACAGAAUGAGACUCUGAAUCUCGGGGUUGUGGGUUCUAGCCCCAUGUUGAGCA